rnacentral:rRNA from 1 species
CAGGCCUAACACAUGCAAGUCGAGGGGUAACGAUGUCUUCGGACAGGCGACGACCGGCGCCGGCGUGAGUAUCGCGUUUGUAACCUACCUUUAACUGGAGAAUAGCCCGAAGAAAUUCGGAUUAAUACUCCAUAAUACUAUGAUCUGGCAUCUUAUUAUAGUUAAAGCUCCGGCGGUUAAAGAUGGACAUGCGUAACAUUAGAUAGUUGGUGAGGUAACGGCUCACCAAGUCUACGAUGUUUAGGGGGUCUGAGAGGAUGGUCCCCCACACUGGUACUGAGACACGGACCAGACUCCUACGGGAGGCAGCAGUGAGGAAUAUUGGUCAAUGGGCGCAAGCCUGAACCAGCCAUGCCGCGUGAAGGGUGACAGCGCUACGCGUUGUAAACUUCUUUUGUACAGGAAGAAACCCUGCUACGUGUAGCAGUUUGACGGUACUGUACGAAUAAGCAUCGGCUAACUCCGUGCCAGCAGCCGCGGUAAUACGGAGGAUGCAAGCGUUAUCCGGAUUUAUUGGGUUUAAAGGGUACGUAGGCGGAAAAUUAAGUCAGUAGUGAAAUCCUGCAGCUUAACUGCAGAACUGUUAUUGAUACUGGUUUUCUUGAAUAUAGUUGAGGUAGGCGGAAUAUGUAAUGUAGCGGUGAAAUGCUUAGAUAUUACACAGAACACCGAUUGCGAAGGCAGCUUACUAAGCUAUGAUUGACGCUGAGGUACGAAAGCGUGGGGAGCGAACAGGAUUAGAUACCCUGGUAGUCCACGCCGUAAACGAUGAUCACUCGUUGUUGGCAAUACAUAGUCAGCGACUGAGCGAAAGCAUUAAGUGAUCCACCUGGGGAGUACGCUCGCAAGAGUGAAACUCGAAAGGAAUUGACGGGGGCCCGCACAAGCGGAGGAACAUGUGGUUUAAUUCGAUGAUACGCGAGGAACCUUACCUGGGCUUAAAUGUAAAACGACGGAUCGGAAACUGAUCUUUCUUAGGACGCUUUGCAAGGUGCUGCAUGGCUGUCGU